GUGGCUAUAGCUCAGCUGGUUAGAGCAUCGGUUUGUGGUACCGAGGGUCGUGGGUUCGAGCCCCAUUAGCCACC
rnacentral:tRNA from 2 species